rnacentral:rRNA from 1 species
AUACAGAGGGUGCAAGCGUUAAUCGGAAUUACUGGGCGUAAAGCGCUCGUAGGCGGCUUGUUAAGUCGGAUGUGAAAUCCCCGGGCUCAACCUGGGAACUGCAUUCGAUACUGGCAGGCUAGAGUAUAGUAGAGGCAAGUGGAAUUCCGGGUGUAGCGGUGAAAUGCGUAGAUAUCCGGAGGAACAUCAGUGGCGAAGGCGACUUGCUGGACUAAUACUGACGCUGAGGAGCGAAAGCGUGGGGAGCAAACGGGAUUAGAAACCCCUGUAGUCC